GAAGGGAAUGGAUAACGAAUAACCACGGGUUUGCAUCAGCAUGCCCCAAACCUUGCAAAUUCAACGGAAUGGGUAUAGUUGUUAUUGGUGGGGUGUAACAUGCAGGUCCAAUGGGGCCUGAAGCCCAAAACACGUCCAAAUGAGGAGAGGGGAGAUCAGUUUGAACUUCAUUUCACUCUUUAUUUUACUUAUACGAGCACAACUAAGUUUGGAGUCAGCAACUCUGUCGCGCCGGAAUUCGCCAUCGGCACGGCGGAUGUUGAAACACCCCCAAAUCACCUCAAAAUGCUCGUCUCUCCUCACUAUUUGCUAAUCCACCAUCAACCUUCCUUGAUUCCAUCCACACAAUCUCAAUCAAAGCCUAAAGCAUAAGAACCUAAAAAAGUAUCUAGAAAUUAAAUGACUAUGAAUGCUUCAAUCGAACCCAAACCAUAGGGGUUUGGUUCGAUCACCUCUAUACUAAAUUGUGGUAUGCGUUUGAUUGCGUUAAGAAGGUGUAAUAUAAGGUAACUAACCUACGAUACAGAGAUGUGUCUCAGAAUUGGAGAAAUUGAAGAAGAUGAUGAUGAACAAGAAUGCCAGAGCUUCUUCGGGGUUCAUUCCUUUGGAUUAUUGGUUCUGCAUCACGACCAUAGUGUACUGCAGUAGUUAUGUCCAUUGGCUUGUGAUUGUGCUUAUGAUGCUUGCAGAACUGUUAUACUGCCAUGGUGUUUGGAUGACUUGUUCCUGCAGGUGUGAGAUUCUAACUUGCACCAGUGGCCUGGCUACAAUAGGUCUUGUUUCGUGUUGGUUUGGACUUGAAUCAUAGCAUGGUCUAAAAAGUUUCUGGUCAGGUUUAUGUGCAUGAUUCUGACUUGGCCUUGCAUUGUUUGUUCAUGGUUUUGUGAAGUAGUUCUGACUUUGGUUUGCAGUCUGUGUUGACUUGGUUUCAAAAGCAUGCUUCACGUUGCCUAUGCAUUCAUCCUGACCUUGAGUUUGUGUGUUUAGGUUUGCUAGGUUUAUGGCCUACAUUGGCAUGGUUACAUACACAAGGAGGAUGGUUGGACAAGGCAUGCAAACAAGAUGACACCAAGUUGAAUUUUGAAGCAUCAUGUACAAAAGGCAAGGAUUAAAGGAUCAAGGUGGAACUUAGGAUUAGAAAUAUGAUUCGGAUUUAGGGUUUUAGGAUGAAAAGGGGAUGAGUUGACUUUGUUCAAAGUUUACCAAAAAGUCAAUUGUUGACCAAAGUCAACACUUGGUCAAAGUCACCAAAUUUUGUAGUUUUUUCAUGUAAUGGACAUUUUAUGACCUGUAAUGAUGGAAAUUGAUAUUUAUGAAUGAAUAUGACACCUUGAAUGAAUGCAUUUGAUACUUGUAAUGAAUGAA